UACGUAGGGGGCGAGCGUUGUCCGGAUUUAUUGGGCGUAAAGAGCUCGUAGGCGGCUUGUCGCGUCGUUCGUGAAAACCUGCAGCUCAACUGCAGGCUUGCGGUCGAUACGGGCAGGCUAGAGUUCGGUAGGGGAGACUGGAAUUCCUGGUGUAGCGGUGAAAUGCGCAGAUAUCAGGAGGAACACCGGUGGCGAAGGCGGGUCUCCGGGCCGAUACUGACGCUGAGGAGCGAAAGCGUGGGGAGCGAACAGG
rnacentral:rRNA from 1 species